rnacentral:lncRNA from 1 species
UUAGUACCAAUAAAUAUUUAACAAGAAAAUAUGCAUUCUUGGCCCUAGUAAACCUCAGUGGGAGUCAUAGAUAGCAUAAGGGUAUGGCAUGUCAUAUACAGUUUAGCAGUACUGCGCCCUAAUGGGCUACAUGAUAUGAUAUUUUCGACACAUUACGUGUCAUAAAAUUUUCCCGGCUUUUUAGCCAUACAGGCACAGCCUUCGGC